AUGAACUACAAUAUGCAGGGGAUGGUGAAGACCAUUCCUGAAGUAUUUUCAAUGCUUAAGUCAGCAGAGGUUGAAAUCAAAAAGGAGCAUCAAGUGUUGAUGGUCAAUAAGACCACUAAGUUUAAGAAGGGCAAGGGUAAGAAAAACUUCAAGAAGGACGGUAAAGAUGUUGCCGCGCCCGGUAAGCCAGUUGCCGGGAAGAAGUCAAAGAAUGGACCCAAGCCCGAGACUGAGUGCUUUUAUUGCAAGGGGAAGGGUCACUGGAAGCGGAACUGCCCCAAAUACUUAGCGGAUAAGAAGGCCGACAACACGAAAGCAGGAGCUGCGGAAUAA
rnacentral:rRNA from 1 species